GACGAACGCUGGCGGCGUGCUUAACACAUGCAAGUCGAACGGACAGGCCCUGCCUUUGUGUGGUGCUCGAGUGGCGAACGGGUGAGUAACACGUGAGUAACCUGCCCUUGACUUUGGGAUAACUUCAGGAAACUGGGGCUAAUACCGGCUAGGAGCUCCUGCUGCAUGGUGUGGCUUGGUAAGUUUCGGCGGUUGGGGAUGGACUCGCGGCUUAUCAGCUUGUUGGUGAGGUAGUGGCUAACCAAGGUAUCGACGGGUAGCCGGACUGAGAGGGUGACCGGGCCCAUAGGGACUGAGAUACGACCCAGACGCAUACGGGGGGCAGCAGUGAGAAAUAGUGCACGAUGGGCGGAGGCCUGAUGCAGCAACGUCGCGUGCGAGAUGACGGCCUUCGGGGUGUAAACCGCUUGCGCCUGUGAAGUAGCGUGAGUGACGGUAAUGGGUAAGGAAGCACCGGCUAACUACGUG
rnacentral:rRNA from 1 species